rnacentral:lncRNA from 1 species
GUUGGGUAAAAUUCCCCAACCGAUUUACACGGUUUCAUUUGCCGGGUAUAAAGCCCAAUUUCUUUUUUUUCUUUUUUAUUUUUUUUCACGAUAUCAAGAGAACUAGAGAAGAGAGAGAUGGCGAUGAUGAAGAAGAAAAACGUUGAACUGCUGCUACUGCUACGACGAUUUGGUAGGUUUUCUUUCUUUUCUUCUUUCUUCUUCAUUCAUUCUUCUUCUUCUUCUUUGGUUGGGUUUUCGAUUUGGAAAUUUUUUUUUAGGGUUUUUGAUUUUUGAAUUAUAAUCAACGAUUUGGGUUUAUGUGGUUACUUUCAUGGCUAAAAGGGUUAUGAAUUUACUUAUAAUCAACAAUUGUUGUUAAAAUAUCGUGUUUUCUAUGUGUAAAAAGAACUAGGGUUUACAAAAUUGAAAAUUUUGCUUUAGGAUUUGGGGGAUUUACUUAUAAUCAACAAUUGUUGUCAAUUAAUCUUAUUGAUUCUACUUCACGUUUUAUUUAUAGUUGUUAAUUAAAGUUAAAAACAAAACAAAUGGAAAGCUUUAGAAGCCCUAGGUUGGCUUUAGGAUUUCAUAGACCUAUUUUUCUCACAAUUAAUUAGCUUAUUACUAAUAAAGAUCUGAACUAAAUUUGCAUUUUCCUCGUCUGAAUUAAAUAUAAUUUGGAUCUAUUGCUUCAAUUUUUGAACUUGCCAGAAUGAUUCUGGAAUAUGAACCAGAAAUGAGUACUUGCUCGAGUUGAAGUGAAGAGAUUCUGAAACCUGGUUAUCAUGCGCACAAAGGAAAGCACCUAAUAUUUUUGUGUAGCUUAAAUCGAUUGUGUAUGUUACUGGGAAAGUUAUUGCACAUUCUCAAUGAUUUAGUUUUUUAUUUAGCGAUUAUGUCUAUGUUGAUCAGUAUGUUCUGGUUUCAAACUGAUUGUUUUCUGCAGACGAUACGUCCAAGAUACAAGUCAUUCAUGUAAGUCCUAAGUAUUAGAUUUGCUAAUUUAUCUGUUAAUUAGUUUGUACAUGUUUGCGAUACUUUUCUUUGUAAUUACUAACUUGUUUUCAGGUUUGCGAAAUGAUGCAGGCCGACCAAUUUUCAUUGGAGAUGUGUUUGGUGUAGCUGACUGUAUCUUAUAUACUCGCGUUAAUUGAAUUUCAUUGGUGAGCUUACAAAUCGUGUAUUACUGAACAAAUUUAUUUGGUCCUUUUAGAAAUAUUUUGUACUUGCUACUUUAGUGAGUUAGCUCUUGAUAUUCAUUCUUUUGUGUUAAAGGGAAAUGAAGCUUGUAACAAUAGGCCAAUGUCCCAAAGGCAAGAUCAAUGUCUGGUUGCCAGUAAGGGGGUAAAUUCUUUUAUCAAUCAUUUUAUGGUUGCAUUUACAGUGGUACAUUAUAUCAGUUAGCUGUGGACUCUUAUUGUUUAUUGUUAGGUUUUAGACCUUGUGCAAUAAAAGUAUGUGGGCUGCACUAUUGUGGUUUCUAUAACUUUGAUUUGUGGACUGUGGGUCAAAAAGUAUGUUGAAGCUUGAAAAUGUUUGAAACUCCAUUCCCUUAUGUGCCAAAUUGGUGUUAGCUUAAAGUUUUAAACUCUUAGUAAUUUGUUUCAAUGCUCAAGACAUUUAAUUUUUUUUUUUUUUUUUAAGUCCAUGGUUAUUAAUGUCUACCCCUUUCUCUACAUACUACCACUAAACAAACUGUGUUUCCUGUUUUUAAUUUUUUUCCACUUAAUGAAGUUCUAGGUCUGUCACAUGAACCUCUGUAGUAUUACAUAUUCAUUGGGGGCUUAUGAUUGGCUUGCAUAAUUAUAGUUUCAAUUGAAUAUUUUAUUGAAAUGUAACUGCUUUACGAAAGCCAUUGAUUCAGGGUCCUUAUAGUUAGCCUAUAAGAAUGAGGAAAUGACACGCCGACGGAAAUUAGCUCUUCGAAAGGAUCUUAAACCUUAUUCAGUUCAGCGAAGGGAGCUUCAGUUCAGCUCCCCUCAUUAACAGUGUUUGGUAUUUUGGAAUGAUUUUU